UGAUUUCUAGCUGCCAAUAUUCAUCUCCGCGGUCCCCGGUUACAAAGUGUCCAUCCACACGCUGGACUCGCUUCUCCCCACACCCGCUCCCCAGACUCGCUACUCCCAUCUCCCCAGGAGAUGAGGAUCAAGGGGAAGAGGACUCUACUCCUGCUGCUGCCCGGUGCGCUGGAUGUGACCGAGACGCGGGCGGGCUCCCAUUCCCUGAGGUAUUUCUACACCGCCGUGUCCCGGCCCGGUCUCGGGGAGCCCCUCUUCAUCAUCGUCGGCUACGUGGACGACACGCAGUUUGUGCGGUUUGACAGCUACGACCCUAAUCCGAGGAUGGAGCCGCGGGCGCGGUGGGUGGAGCAGGAGGGGCCCGAGUAUUGGGAUGAGGAGACUCAGAGAGCCAGAGACGCCGCACAGACUUUCCGAGUGAGCCUGAACACCCUGCGCGGCUACUACAACCAGAGCGAGGCCGGGUCUCACACCCUCCAGGAGAUGUUCGGCUGCGACGUGGGGCCGGAUGGGCGCCUCCGCGGGUUUGAUCAGUUAGCCUACGACGGCAGAGAUUACAUCGCCCUGAACGAGGACCUGAGCUCCUGGACCGCUGCGGACACGGCGGCUCAGAUCACCAAGCGCAAGUUUGAGCAUCGCGGUGUGGCGGAUGACUACAGGAGCUACCUAAACCGCGAGUGAGCGGAGUGGCUCCGCAGAUACCUAGAGAGCGGAAAGAACACGCUGCUGCGCGCAGACCCUCCAACGACACAUGUGACCCAUUACCACAUCUCUGAACGUGAGGUCACCCUGAGGUGCUGGGCCCUGGGCUUCUACCCUGAGGUGAUCUCACUGACCUGGCAGCGUGAUGGGGAGGACCAGACCCAGGACAUGGAGCUUGUGGAGACCAGGCCUUCAGGGGAUGGAACCUUCCAGAAGUGGGCAGCCCUGGUGGUGCCUUCUGGAGAGGAGCAGAAACACACGUGUCAUGUGCAGCAUGAGGGGCUUCAGGAGCCCCUCACCCUGAGAUGGGAACCUCCUCAGCCUUCUAUCCCCACCAUGGGCAUCACUGUUGGCCCGGUUCUCCUCGUGUUGGCUGUGGUGGCUGGAGCUGUGAUCUGGUGGAUGAAGCGCUCAGGUGAACAAGGAGGGAGCUACACUCAGGCUGCAAGCAGUGACAGUGUCCAGAGCUCUGGUGUGUGACCAGGGCUCUCAUGGAUCCUAGAGUGAGAGACAGCUACCUCGUGGGGACAAGAUUCCAUGUCCCAUCCCUGCACUAUGACUUCAAGAUCUUCUGACUUCUCUUUCUGCAGAAGUCAUCUGAAUGUGUCUGUGCUGCUAUUAGCAUAAUGUAAAGAAGUGGUGAGCCUGGCACCCACUCUGUUCACCACAACCCCUUCCCACACUGUACUGUUUUCUCUUCUCUGAUGGUCCUUCCUGAUCCAACAGAGGCUGGGGUUGGGCUGUCUCCAUCUUUGUCUUAACUUCUUUUGCAUUUUCAUAUUUUAUUGAAAAUCAGGAUCCAAACUACAGGUUUCCCCCAUGGGUCCUCAUCUAUCUUGUACCCUAGUGUUUGUCUAUGUGGGUCUGUUUUGUAAAACUGUAAAGAUGUUUGUACAGUUUUAGUAUGUCUAAAUGUCUUUAGUAACAUUAAAAGCAAAGAAAUUGCUUUUCCUUUAUGAUCA